GCGAUAUCUUAUAUAUGGAUAAAAAUGAUUCAACUCAGAUAGGAAGUGGAACACAAUAUCUUAUGGAAGAUUAAACCUAGAGAUGCUAGCUUUUGGUUUGAUAGCUAGACAAAACAAGGUGCUCAGUAUUAUUUUGAGGAACACAAUCACGGAAAGAUAGAGAUAGAAGCCAAACAGUUAAUCAGACAUGGGAAUUAGAAUAACUUAAAGCUAAGUCUAUAUAAUUUAGAUGAAAUGGUAAGAGUAUAUUAUAUAUUGCAUCAAUCCUACUUUAGAGGUAGGGUGAGAGAUAAAUCAUGGUUGAUGGGG
rnacentral:lncRNA from 1 species